GACGAACCGUCCAAACGUUAUUCGGAAUCACUGGGCUUAAAGGGUGCGUAGGCGGUCUGAUAAGUUGGGUGUGAAAGACCUCGGCCUAACCGAGGAAUAGCGCCCAAAACUGUUGAACUUGAGUAAGGCAGAGGUGAACGGAACUUAGGGUGGAGCGGUGAAAUGCGUUGAUAUCCUAAGGAACACCAGUAGCGAAAGCGGUUCACUGGGCCUUUACUGACGCUGAUGCACGAAAGCCAGGGGAGCGAACGGG
rnacentral:rRNA from 1 species